rnacentral:rRNA from 1 species
UCCGGUUGAUCCCGCCGGACCCGACUGCUAUCAGAGUAGGACUAAGCCAUGCGAGUCAACGCCGCAAGGCGUGGCAUACGGCUCAGUAACACGUAGUCAACAUGCCCAAAGGACGUGGAUAACCUCGGGAAACUGAGGAUAAACCGCGAUAGGCCAAGGUUUCUGAAUGAGUCCUGGCCGAAAUCUAUAUGGCCUUUGGAUUGGACUGCGGCCGAUCAGGCUGUUGGUGAGGUAAUGGCCCACCAAACCUGUAACCGGUACGGGCUCUGAGAGGAGGAGCCCGGAGAUGGGCACUGAGACAAGGGCCCAGGCCCUAUGGGGCGCAGCAGGCGCGAAACCUCUGCAAUAGGCGAAAGCUUGACAGGGUUACUCUGAGUGAUUUCCGUUAAGGAGAUCUUUUGGCACCUCUAAAAAUGGUGCAGAAUAAGGGGUGGGCAAGUCUGGUGUCAGCCGCCGCGGUAAUACCAGCACCCCGAGUGGUCGGGACGUUUAUUGGGCCUAAAGCAUCCGUAGCCGGUUCUACAAGUCUUCCGUUAAAUCCACCUGCUUAACAGAUGGGCUGCGGAAGAUACUAUAGAGCUAGGAGGCGGGAGAGGCAAGCGGUACUCGAUGGGUAGAGGUAAAAUCCGUUGAUCCAUUGAAGACCACCAGUGGCGAAGGCGGCUUGCCAGAACGCGCUCGACGGUGAGGGAUGAAAGCUGGGGGAGCAAACCGGAUUAGAUACCCGGGUAGUCCCAGCUGUAAACGAUGCAGACUCGGUGAUGAGUUGGCUUAUUGCUAACUCAGUGCCGCAGGGAAGCCGUUAAGUUUGCCGCCUGGGGAGUACGGUCGCAAGACUGAAACUUAAAGGAAUUGGCGGG